CCUACGGGAGGCAGCAGUGGGGAAUAUUGGGCAAUGGACGCAAGUCUGACCCAGCAACGCCGCGUGAAGGAAGAAGGCUUUCGGGUUGUAAACUUCUUUUAAGGGGGAAGAGCAGAAGACGGUACCCCUUGAAUAAGCCACGGCUAACUACGUGCCAGCAGCCGCGGUAAUACGUAGGUGGCAAGCGUUGUCCGGAUUUACUGGGUGGAAAGGGCGUGCAGCCGGAGAGACAAGUCAGAUGUGAAAUCCACGGGCUCAACCCGUGAACUGCAUUUGAAAUGGUUUCCCUUGAGUGUCGGAGAGGUAAUCGGAAUUCCUUGUGUAGCGGUGAAAUGCGUAGAUAGAAGGAAGAACACCAGUGGCGAAGGCGGAUUACUGGACGAUAACUGACGGUGAGGCGCGAAAGCGUGGGGAGCAAACAGGAUUAGAUACCCGAGUAGUC
rnacentral:rRNA from 1 species